GCAGCAGCUGUCGGAAAAUCUUCCCAGCUAGGGGCACGUCCUGUGGGGAUAAGAAGUGGUGUAUAGACGGUGUUUGUGUGGCAGACGACGAGGCGCCAUCAACCUUGGAUUCCUGUCCAUGGGGAGAUUCUCUUGAAAUAUUCAGCGAUUCAACAACUUGUGCCAAUAUCACGUCCUCACAGGCGAGGCACUGCUACACCGAAUUUUAUCUCAGUCGAUGUUGUACAGCUUGUCCUGCUGCCUACAGCGGCAAUCCAGACUGUCCGUACGGAAACAAAAUACCCGAUUGUUCACAAAUAGAUUCAUCACCUAGUCACGGAUGCUACACUCCUCUAAAUGAAGACUUUUGCUGUGGAUCUUGUCUACCCUUCAAAGACCUCAAUAAACCAG